GGUUGAUUUCUAUAUUUUUUUCUCAAAAACUGUUUACGAUCAUCAUUGAAUACAGAACACAUAAAAAUAUAAUGAAAUUCAUCUCCGAUGUCGCCAGAAUUACAAAGUAAGCAUUUUCUAUUUUCUCUUGCAACGUUUUGCCAUCUACCAGUCUCAAUAGGAAAUCUAUGACUUCCUGUUCUCAAUCUACAUAAUGUAAUAAUAUUUC
rnacentral:lncRNA from 1 species